UCGUAACAAGGUCUCCGUUGGUGAACCAGCGGAGGGAUCAUUACCGAGUGUAAAAACUCCCAAACCAUUGUGAACCUACCACUGUUGCUUCGGCGGCCUCGCCCCGGGCGCGUUCGCGCGGCCCGGACCCAGGCGUCCGCCGGAGGCUCCAAACUCUUGUCUUUUAGUGUAUUUCUGAGUGGCAUAAGCAAAUAAAUCAAAACUUUCAGCAACGGAUCUCUUGGUUCUGGCAUCGAUGAAGAACGCAGCAAAAUGCGAUAAGUAAUGUGAAUUGCAGAAUUCAGUGAAUCAUCGAAUCUUUGAACGCACAUUGCGCCCGCCAGUAUUCUGGCGGGCAUGCCUGUCUGAGCGUCAUUUCAACCCUCAGGACCCGUUCGCGGGACCUGGCGUUGGGGAUCAGCCUGCCCCUGGCGGCGGCUGGCCCUGAAAUCCAGUGGCGGUUCCCUCGCGAACUCCUCCGUGCAGUAAUUAAACCUCUCGCGGCAGGAUAGCGGUUGAACCACGCCGUUAAACCCCCCACUUCUCAAGGUUGACCUCAGAUCAGGUAGGAAUACCCGCUGAACCUAAGCAUAUCA
rnacentral:misc_RNA from 1 species